rnacentral:rRNA from 1 species
AUGGCCACUUCCGCUCUCACCGCCGUUCUUGGGAACGUGGGAAAUCUUGCUGUUCAGGAGACUAGUUUAUUAUGUGGGGUUACCCUUGAAGUGGCCUUCUUGAAAGAUGAGGUGAUGCGGCUGCAGGGCUACCUCAGAGAUGCUGAGAGCAGACAGAGAUCUGGAAAUGCAAGCGUUGCUAUUUUGAUGAGCCAGAUUAGGGAUGCCGCAUAUCAGGCUGAGAAUGGCAUCGAAGCCGCAGACUAUAUGAAGAAGAGAAACAUGAUCAAGAAGAGCUUCAUGGGUACAAUUUCAAGGUAUGCUCGCUUACCAAGCGACUUGACUACCCUUCAUAAAGUAGGUACUGAAAUUAAGCGCGUGAGCAGGAAACUCAAUGAGAUAUUUCAGAGUGUACAACGCUUGAAUAUCGACUUGGACACUCGUGUUGUGGAUGAGUCGCUGGAAGAUUAUGGCCUUAUGCACCAAAACUUUCAGGAUGAUGUUGUCAUGAUUGGUUUCGAGGACGAGUACAAAGAAACAGUGGAUAAAUUAGUUCACGGAGAAGAUAUGCUUAAUGUUGUCUCCAUAGUUUCCAUGGGUGGGGCAGGCAAAACAACCCUUGCUAGGAAAGUAUACACUUCAUCUGGAUCAAACAACACUUUGAGGCACUGA